GAUGAAGAACGUAGCGAAAUGCGAUACUUCGUGUGAAUUGCAGAAUCCCGUGAACCAUCGAGUCUUUGAACGCAAGUUGCGCCUCAAGCCAUUAGGUUGAGGGCACGUCUGCCUCGGCGUCACAUAUCGUUGCCUGAUGCCAGUUUCCUCGUGAUGGGUGACUGUGCAGGGCGAAUGAUGGCUUCCCGUGAGCAUUGUUGCCUCAUGGUUGGUUGAAAAUUGAGUCCUUGGUAGGGAGCGCCGUGAUAGAUGGUGGUUGAGUGACGAACGAGACCCAAUCAUGUGAGACCCCUACCGAAUUUGGCCUUCAUGACCCACAUGCGUCUUUGGAACGCUCAUGACGAGACCUCAGGUCAGGCGGGGCUACCCGCUGAGUUUAAGCAUAUCAAUAAGCGGAGGA
rnacentral:misc_RNA from 1 species